AGCUGAGCCAGUGCUGCAGUGAGCGCAGCGGGAGAUUCGGUGGCUAGCGUAACUACGACAACAAGCGUUGCAAACUUGUACAUGGAGGCUAAAGCAUCUCCACAAUGACAGAGACCAACAUGGAAGAUUAUUUGCGGCGGGCCAAGACAAUGCUGGUCCUGAAGUCCAUGCUGUUCUAGGAGUGGUGGAGCCAGAUGUAGAUUCUGUGGCUUCAACACUGAGUUACGCCUACUUCCUCAGCCAGAAGGAGAGCUCAGGCUGUGUGAGUGUCCCGGUCCUGUGUGGUCAGCGAUGUGAUGUGGGCUUGCCAGGGAGACGGUGUGGUACCUUGUGAGGGUGUGUGAGUCUGCUCUGUUGUGGAAAGACGACAUCAACCUACUACAGCUCCACCACAGAGGAAAACUCUCCCUCACUCUGAUGAGGGACGAUGUGCUCAACAGGUACACACAGUAGACGUCUACCGAUUAA
rnacentral:lncRNA from 1 species